CGACCCCAGGUGAGGCGGGGUUACCCGCUGAAUUU
rnacentral:rRNA from 1 species